rnacentral:rRNA from 1 species
ACACCAGUGGCGAAGGCGGCCUGCUGGGCUUUUACUGACGCUGAGGCUCGAAAGCGUGGGUAGCAAACAGGAUUAGAUACCCUGGUAGUCCACGCGGUAAACGAUGAUUACUAGGUGUGGGUGGACUGACCCCAUCCGUGCCGGAGUUAACACAAUAAGUAAUCCACCUGGGGAGUACGGCCGCAAGGUUGAAACUCAAAGGAAUUGACGGGGGCCCGCACAAGCAGUGGAGUAUGUGGUUUAAUUCGACGCAACGCGAAGAACCUUACCAGGUCUUGACAUCGAGUGACGGACAUAGAGAUAUGUCUUUCCUUCGGGACACGAAGACAGGUGGUGCAUGGUUGUCGUCAGCUCGUGUCGUGAGAUGUUGGGUUAAGUCCCGCAACGAGCGCAACCCUUACCAUUAGUUGCUACGCAAGAGCACUCUAAUGGGACUGCCGUUGACAAAACGGAGGAAGGUGGGGAUGACGUCAAAUCAUCAUGCCCCUUAUGAUCAGGGCUACACACGUGCUACAAUGGCGUAAACAGAGGGAAGCGAAAUGGUAACAUGAAGCAAAUCCGAGAAAUAACGUCUCAGUUCGGAUUGUAGUCUGCAACUCGACUACAUGAAGCUGGAAUCGCUAGUAAUCGCGAAUCAGAAUGUCGCGGUGAAUACGUUCCCGGGUCUUGUACACACCGCCCGUCACACCAUGGGAGUCGGAAAUGCCCGAAGUCAGUGACCUAACCGAGAGGGAGGAGCUGCCGAAGGUGGAGCCGGUAACUGGGGUGAAGUCGUAACAAGGUAACCGUAA